CUAGCUUGCUAGUUUGAUGACGAGCGGCGGACGGGUGAGUAAUACUUAGGAACUUGCCUCUUGGAGGGGGACAACAGUUGGAAACGACUGCUAAUACCGCAUGAUGUCGCAAGACCAAAGGGGGCUUCGGCUCCUGCCAAGAGAGAGGCCUAAGUGAGAUUAGCUAGUUGGUGGGGUAAAGGCUCACCAAGGCGACGAUCUCUAGCUGUUCUGAGAGGAAGAUCAGCCACACUGGGACUGAGACACGGCCCAGACUCCUACGGGAGGCAGCAGUGGGGAAUAUUGGACAAUGGGGGCAACCCUGAUCCAGCCAUGCCGCGUGUGUGAAGAAGGCCUUCGGGUUGUAAAGCACUUUCAGUGGUGAGGAAAGGGUAACGGUUAAUACCCGUUAUCUGUGACGUUAGCCACAGAAGAAGCACCGGCUAACUCCGUGCCAGCAGCCGCGGUAAUACGGAGGGUGCGAGCGUUAAUCGGAAUUACUGGGCGUAAAGCGCACGCAGGCGGAUUGUUAAGCUAGAUGUGAAAGCCCCGGGCUUAACCUGGGAAUUGCAUUUAGAACUGGCAGUCUAGAGUCUUGGAGAGGGGAGUGGAAUUCCAGGUGUAGCGGUGAAAUGCGUAGAGAUCUGGAGGAACAUCAGUGGCGAAGGCGGCUCCCUGGCCAAAGACUGACGCUCAUGUGCGAAAGCGUGGGUAGCGAACAGGAUUAGAUACCCUGGUAGUCCACGCCGUAAACGAUGUCUACUAGCUGUCUGUGGCUUUAAGUCGUGGGUAGCGCAGCAAACGCGCUAAGUAGACCGCCUGG
rnacentral:rRNA from 1 species